rnacentral:rRNA from 1 species
UGCCAGACUCCUACGGGAGGCAGCAGUGGGGAAUAUUGCACAAUGGGGGAAACCCUGAUGCAGCGACGCCGCGUGAGCGAUGAAGUAUUUCGGUAUGUAAAGCUCUAUCAGCAGGGAAGAAAAUGACGGUACCUGACUAAGAAGCCCCGGCUAACUACGUGCCAGCAGCCGCGGCAAUACGUAGGGGGCAAGCGUUAUCCGGAUUUACUGGGUGUAAAGGGAGCGUAGACGGCAAUGCAAGCCAGAUGUGAAAGCCCGGGGCUCAACCCCGGGACUGCAUUUGGAACUGUGUAGCUGGAGUGUCGGAGAGGCAGGCGGAAUUCCUAGUGUAGCGGUGAAAUGCGUAGAUAUUAGGAGGAACACCAGUGGCGAAGGCGGCCUGCUGGACGAUGACUGACGUUGAGGCUCGAAAGCGUGGGGAGCAAACAGGAUUAGAUACCCGAGUACAA